rnacentral:rRNA from 1 species
CCGUAUAGGGGAGCCGUAGGGAAACCGAGUCUUAACCGGGCGUUAAGUUGCAGGGUAUAGACCCGAAACCCGGUGAUCUAGCCAUGGGCAGGUUGAAGGUUGGGUAACACUAACUGGAGGACCGAACCGACUAAUGUUGAAAAAUUAGCGGAUGACCUGUGGCUGGGGGUGAAAGGCCAAUCAAACCGGGAGAUAGCUGGUUCUCCCCGAAAGCUAUUUAGGUAGCGCCUCGUGAAUUCAUCUCCGGGGGUAGAGCACUGUUUCGGCUAGGGGGCCAUCCCGGCUUACCAACCCGAUGCAAACUGCGAAUACCGGAGAAUGUUAUCACGGGAGACACACGGCGGGUGCUAACGUCCGUCGUGAAGAGGGAAACAACCCAGACCGCCAGCUAAGGUCCCAAAGUCAUGGUUAAGUGGGAAACGAUGUGGGAAGGCCCAGACAGCCAGGAUGUUGGCUUAGAAGCAGCCAUCAUUUAAAGAAAGCGUAAUAGCUCACUGGUCGAGUCGGCCUGCGCGGAAGAUGUAACGGGGCUAAACCAUGCACCGAAGCUGCGGCAGCGAACGUAUCACCCAAGACAACUUUACGGAGUUGACGAUUGACGGAGCGAAGCGACGUCAAAGCGUUCAUUAAAGUCGAGUUGGCUUAGGGAUACGUUCGUUGGGUAGGGGAGCGUUCUGUAAGCCUGUGAAGGUGUGUCGUGAGGCAUG